rnacentral:rRNA from 1 species
UACGGAGGAUUCUAGCGUUAUCCGGAUUUAUUGGGUUUAAAGGGUGCGUAGGCGGACUGGUAAGUCAGCUGUGAAAGUUUACGGCUCAACCGUGGAAUUGCAGUUGAUACUGUUGGUCUUGAGUAUACAUGAGGUGUGUGGAAUUUGUGGUGUAGCGGUGAAAUGCGUAGAUAUUCCAAAGAACUCCAAUGGCGAAGGCAGCACACUGGGGUAUAACUGACGCUGAUGCACGAAAGUGUGGGUAUCAAACAGG